rnacentral:lncRNA from 1 species
UGCUCUGUAUAUACAACAUGUGUAGUAGUCUCCUCUCUGUCUCACCCAGUCCCUUGAGUCUUUUGGUUGUCACGGCACUUGAAGAUGUGGCCUAGGGAGUCUUGAUUCAGCCUAACUUGCUUCUUUCACUCAAUCUCGUCCUGGAAAACUGGCUGUUAAAGCAUGGCUGUUAAAGCUAGCAUGGACCUACGUAGGAGCGGACAGGAGUCUGAGAGCUGACGGUUGCUUAAGGCAACAAUUCUGGAGUUGGAUCACAGAGAGAAGUAGAAGGCGGUGAUGCACAAGUGUGAGACGGGACAAGAGAAAGCAGAUCACAUCUGGCACAGAGAGCCAGGCGAAUGGUGCCCUGCAUCUCAAACUGCCAUAGGUCUGGUCUUCUUACUUCAUGCUCUGCCCAUCUUCUGGCUUCAUUAAUUCAUUCUGUGGACUUACCUGCCUUCCACUUACCUUUUCUUAUCAGCUGCAAUCUAACUUGAAUUAAAGGUAAGCCAGUUCCCAUCAUUGUGUUCAGUUUCAGGUGUUCUGUUUUGUUUGACAGGGCCUCAUGUAGCCUAGGUUGGCUUCAAAUUUGCUAUC